GACAUGGUGAUAAAUAAUUUUGUAUUUCAAUCAAAUUAUUAAUGUAAAAUGUAAUUUUUUUUUGAUGAACAUGAGAUAAUCCAUUCAAAGAAAAGGAUAAUAAGCAAACAAUGAUAAAAAAAAAACAAAUUAUAGAAAGUCUAAUACAAACUGUACAAGCAGAACAAGACAAGAUUCAAAGGUUUACAAUUCGAUUAUGGAAAAACAGCAUACUACGCUUAGAUCAAACCACAAUUGCCUAACAAAAGGAAGCAAAGACGAAAACCUUCAUCUAUAUGUCCGUGUUCAACCAUUAGAAUAGAGAAGUCGCCAUUAUGCAUAGAACCCUCGUCAUGUCCUCACCUUCGUUGCAAUGGACAUGCUUCAAGCUAACCUAAUCCAAUGGAUGCGAGCAGCUUUAGUUAGGGGUGUAAUCGAGUCAAAUUGAGCUUAAAUAUUGUCAAGCUCGACUUGAAAUUUGAAGUUUGAUACUCAACUGAAGCUCGAUGAAACAUUUAUUUUUAAGUUUGAGAUUGACUCAAGAUAUAAUCGAGCUAUUUGAGCUCGAGCUCAAUUAAGUUCGUUUAUCAAUUUUUAUACUUAAGCUCGAAUUCGAGCUCAAUUAAGCUCAUUUACUAAAUUUCAUACUAAGCUCGAGCUCAACUCAAUAAUUAAACUUAAGAUUAAUAAUAUAUACUAAGAAGAAUAACUUGUGAGCACCUGCAGCUAGAAUUUUUUUUAAAGGGGCUAAAAUUAAAUUAUAAUUUUUUCUAUAAUAAAAAUGUAACUUUUGAAAGAUUGAAUUAAAAUUUUAAUAUUUUUAAAGAGAUUAAAUGUAACUAACUUAAAAUUUUAAAAAUUUAAAAGGCGAAAAUGACCAUCCCCAAGAUUCGGCCUGUGUCUCAUUUAUACUCUUACCUCUAGCAAAACAAGCAAUCCAGGGAUGCCCGAGAAAAUCCUUCACACACAAGGCUUGAAAGCUUGCGUCAAGGAAGAAGCGAGUACAAACCGACUCGAGAGAACUCCUUUAAGGGAGGAGCCACGGGAGACCCUAGGCUAGAUAUAUUACUCUGAACAAACUUACUGGAAAAACAGAGGAUGGUCGGCAAGAGGAGGAGGUAGGAGUGGAGGUAAGGAAGGAGAAGGAAAAAGGAAAAAGUGAAGGAGGAGAAAGCGAGAGAGCUGUUUCCGGCGAGGUCAGCAACGGCAACCCAUUAAAAGACCACACCGAAAGCAACCACGAGAGGCAACAAGGAAGGGGAAAGGAGAAAAAAGGAGGAGGGGGAAAGAGGAAGGGAUGAGAAAAGAAAGUGGACGAUGGUGGAGGAAAAGGGUGAUCGACACCGACCCUAAGUUUGACAGCCGGCAUAAUGGAGCAGAGAAAAGGAGCAGGAAGAAUCAGAAAGCCAGCGAUCGACCUUAAGACCGCCGCCCAACAUCACAAGCUCCCCUCGCAAUUACAAAAUGAGAGAAUAAUACAGGAAUUUGUAGAGAGACAUACAGUAAUACAUCUGACAUGUUUUGUCCCUACAAAAUUGAAGUGCUUAAAAUUUCAAUUUAGGUACCUUCUGCUUCAUCUAUCAUUGACAGGGGGGACUUCUAGGUAAGGUAGGGCCUUGACUCUUAGGUUCAAAUGAUUAAAUCGUUCUUUUAAUCCUUUAAAUAAGUUACAAUUCAAUUUAAGUCUUCUUUUAACACAAAAUUUAUUUCUUUGCCCCCUUAGGUUAAAAAAGUUGUGUUCUUGCAUAUUGUUUCAUUCUUUAGCUCCUGUUCGUUCUUCGAAAAUUCUUUGAAAGAGUUGUUCAUUUUUAACAUGGUUACUUCAUCGUCUACUCCAUGUAUAAAGGAUUGUUUUAAUUUUCUAAUUUUGGUGCAAAUAAUAGUUCUGGUUGUAAUGGAAGAAGCGGCCAAUGAGAUAAUUGCAUGGUGUUAGCCCAUGAAGAGUGACUUCAC
rnacentral:lncRNA from 1 species